rnacentral:rRNA from 1 species
GAUGAACGCUGGCGGCGUGCUUAACACAUGCAAGUCGAACGAUGAUCCGGUGCUUGCACCGGGGAUUAGUGGCGAACGGGUGAGUAACACGUGAGUAACCUGCCCUUGACUCUGGGAUAAGCCUGGGAAACUGGGUCUAAUACCGGAUAUGACUGACUAUCGCAUGGUGGUUGGUGGAAAGCUUUUGCGGUUUUGGAUGGACUCGCGGCCUAUCAGCUUGUUGGGGGGUAAUGGCCUACCAAGGCGACGACGGGUAGCCGGCCUGAGAGGGUGACCGGCCACACUGGGACUGAGACACGGCCCAGACUCCUACGGGAGGCAGCAGUGGGGAAUAUUGCACAAUGGGCGCAAGCCUGAUGCAGCGACGCCGCGUGAGGGAUGACGGCCU